UACGGGGGGGGCAAGCGUUGUUCGGAAUUACUGGGCGUAAAGGGCUCGUAGGCGGCCAAUUAAGUCAGACGUGAAAUCCCUCAGCUCAACUGGGGAACUGCGUCUGAGACUGGAUGGCUGGAGUGCAGGAGAGGAACGCGGAAUUCCAGGUGUAGCGGUGAAAUGCGUAGAUAUCUGGAGGAACACCGGUGGCGAAGGCGGCGUUCUGGACUGCAACUGACGCUGAGGAGCGAAAGCCAGGGGAGCAAACGGG
rnacentral:rRNA from 1 species